GCAGCCUGCAACUCGGCUGCAUGAAGCUGGAAUCGCUAGUAAUCGCAGAUCAGAAUGCUGCGGUGAAUACGUUCCCGGGUCUUGUACACACCGCCCGUCACACCAUGGGAGUUGGAAAUGCCCGAAGCCAGUGACCCAACCGUAAGGAGGGAGCUGUCGAAGGUGGAGCCGAUGACUGGGGUGAAGUCGUAACAAGGUAGC
rnacentral:rRNA from 1 species